CCUACGGGAGGCAGCAGUGGGGAAUAUUGGACAAUGGGGGGAACCCUGAUCCAGCCAUGCCGCGUGUGUGAAGAAGGCCCUCGGGUUGUAAAGCACUUUCAGUGAGGAAGAACGCCUGGUGGUUAAUACCCAUCAGGAAAGACAUCACUCACAGAAGAAGCACCGGCUAACUCCGUGCCAGCAGCCGCGGUAAUACGGAGGGUGCGAGCGUUUAUCGGAAUUACUGGGCGUAAAGCGCGCGUAGGUGGCUUGAUAAGCCGGUUGUGAAAGCCCCGGGCUCAACCUGGGAACGGCAUCCGGAACUGUCAAGCUAGAGUGCAGGAGAGGAAGGUAGAAUUCCCGGUGUAGCGGUGAAAUGCGUAGAGAUCGGGAGGAAUACCAGUGGCGAAGGCGGCCUUCUGGACUGACACUGACACUGAGGUGCGAAAGCGUGGGUAGCAAACAGGAUUAGAUACCCCAGUAGUC
rnacentral:rRNA from 1 species